rnacentral:rRNA from 1 species
AGAUUAAGUUAUUAAGGGCGCACGGUGGAUGCCUUGGCACUAGAAGCCGAUGAAGGACGUUACUAACGACGAUAUGCUUUGGGGAGCUGUAAGUAAGCUUUGAUCCAGAGAUUUCCGAAUGGGGAAACCCAGCAUGAGUUAUGUCAUGUUAUCGAUAUGUGAAUACAUAGCAUAUCAGAAGGCACACCCGGAGAACUGAAACAUCUUAGUACCCGGAGGAAGAGAAAGAAAAUUCGAUUCCCUUAGUAGCGGCGAGCGAAACGGGAAGAGCCCAAACCAACAAGCUUGCUUGUUGGGGUUGUAGGACACUCUAUACGGAGUUACAAAGGACGACAUUAGACGAAUCAUCUGGAAAGAUGAAUCAAAGAAGGUAAUAAUCCUGUAGUCGAAAAUGUUGUCUCUCUUGAGUGGAUCCUGAGUACGACGGAGCACGUGAAAUUCCGUCGGAAUCUGGGAGGACCAUCUCCUAAGGCUAAAUACUCUCUAGUGACCGAUAGUGAACCAGUACCGUGAGGGAAAGGUGAAAAGCACCCCGGAAGGGGAGUGAAAUAGAACCUGAAACCGUGUGCUUACAAGUAGUCAGAGCCCGUUAAUGGGUGAUGGCGUGCCUUUUGUAGAAUGAACCGGCGAGUUACGAUUUGAUGCAAGGUUAAGCAGUAAAUGUGGAGCCGUAGCGAAAGCGAGUCUGAAUAGGGCGUUUAGUAUUUGGUCGUAGACCCGAAACCAGGUGAUCUACCCUUGGUCAGGUUGAAGUUCAGGUAACACUGAAUGGAGGACCGAACCGACUUACGUUGAAAAGUGAGCGGAUGAACUGAGGGUAGCGGAGAAAUUCCAAUCGAACCUGGAGAUAGCUGGUUCUCUCCGAAAUAGCUUUAGGGCUAGCCUCAAGUGAUGAUUAUUGGAGGUAGAGCACUGUUUGGACGAGGGGCCCCUCUCGGGUUACCGAAUUCAGACAAACUCCGAAUGCCAAUUAAUUUAACUUGGGAGUCAGAACAUGGGUGAUAAGGUCCGUGUUCGAAAGGGAAACAGCCCAGACCACCAGCUAAGGUCCCAAAAUAUAUGUUAAGUGGAAAAGGAUGUGGCGUUGCCCAGACAACUAGGAUGUUGGCUUAGAAGCAGCCAUCAUUUAAAGAGUGCGUAAUAGCUCACUAGUCGAGUGACACUGCGCCGAAAAUGUACCGGGGCUAAACAUAUUACCGAAGCUGUGGAUUGUCCUUUGGACAAUGGUAGGAGAGCGUUCUAAGGGCGUUGAAGCAUGAUCGUAAGGACAUGUGGAGCGCUUAGAAGUGAGAAUGCCGGUGUGAGUAGCGAAAGACGGGUGAGAAUCCCGUCCACCGAUUGACUAAGGUUUCCAGAGGAAGGCUCGUCCGCUCUGGGUUAGUCGGGUCCUAAGCUGAGGCCGACAGGCGUAGGCGAUGGAUAACAGGUUGAUAUUCCUGUACCACCUAUAAUCGUUUUAAUCGAUGGGGGGACGCAGUAGGAUAGGCGAAGCGUGCGAUUGGAUUGCACGUCUAAGCAGUAAGGCUGAGUAUUAGGCAAAUCCGGUACUCGUUAAGGCUGAGCUGUGAUGGGGAGAAGACAUUGUGUCUUCGAGUCGUUGAUUUCACACUGCCGAGAAAAGCCUCUAGAUAGAAAAUAGGUGCCCGUACCGCAAACCGACACAGGUAGUCAAGAUGAGAAUUCUAAGGUGAGCGAGCGAACUCUCGUUAAGGAACUCGGCAAAAUGACCCCGUAACUUCGGGAGAAGGGGUGCUCUUUAGGGUUAACGCCCAGAAGAGCCGCAGUGAAUAGGCCCAAGCGACUGUUUAUCAAAAACACAGGUCUCUGCUAAACCGUAAGGUGAUGUAUAGGGGCUGACGCCUGCCCGGUGCUGGAAGGUUAAGAGGAGUGGUUAGCUUCUGCGAAGCUACGAAUCGAAGCCCCAGUAAACGGCGGCCGUAACUAUAACGGUCCUAAGGUAGCGAAAUUCCUUGUCGGGUAAGUUCCGACCCGCACGAAAGGCGUAACGAUUUGGGCACUGUCUCAACGAGAGACUCGGUGAAAUCAUAGUACCUGUGAAGAUGCAGGUUACCCGCGACAGGACGGAAAGACCCCGUGGAGCUUUACUGUAGCCUGAUAUUGAAAUUCGGCACAGCUUGUACAGGAUAGGUAGGAGCCUUUGAAACGUGAGCGCUAGCUUACGUGGAGGCGCUGGUGGGAUACUACCCUAGCUGUGUUGGCUUUCUAACCCGCACCACUUAUCGUGGUGGGAGACAGUGUCAGGCGGGCAGUUUGACUGGGGCGGUCGCCUCCUAAAAGGUAACGGAGGCGCUCAAAGGUUCCCUCAGAAUGGUUGGAAAUCAUUCAUAGAGUGUAAAGGCAUAAGGGAGCUUGACUGCGAGACCUACAAGUCGAGCAGGGUCGAAAGACGGACUUAGUGAUCCGGUGGUUCCGCAUGGAAGGGCCAUCGCUCAACGGAUAAAAGCUACCCCGGGGAUAACAGGCUUAUCUCCCCCAAGAGUUCACAUCGACGGGGAGGUUUGGCACCUCGAUGUCGGCUCAUCGCAUCCUGGGGCUGUAGUCGGUCCCAAGGGUUGGGCUGUUCGCCCAUUAAAGCGGUACGCGAGCUGGGUUCAGAACGUCGUGAGACAGUUCGGUCCCUAUCCGUCGUGGGCGUAGGAAAUUUGAGAGGAGCUGUCCUUAGUACGAGAGGACCGGGAUGGACAUACCUCUGGUGUACCAGUUGUCGUGCCAACGGCAUAGCUGGGUAGCUAUGUGUGGACGGGAUAAGUGCUGAAAGCAUCUAAGCAUGAAGCCCCCCUCAAGAUGAGAUUUCCCAACUUCGGUUAUAAGAUCCCUCAAAGAUGAUGAGGUUAAUAGGUUC